AAUAUUGGACAAUGGGGGCAACCCUGAUCCAGCCAUGCCGCGUGUGUGAAGAAGGUCUUCGGAUUGUAAAGCACGUUAAGUUGGGAGGAAGGGCUUUAGGCUCAUAGCCUGAUGUUUUGACGUUACCAACAGAAUUAGCACCGGCUAACUCUUGGACACCAGCCGCGAUAAUACAGAGGGUGCAAGCGUUAAUCGGAAUUACUGGGCGUAAAGCGCGCGUAGGUGGUUCAGUAAGAUGGGUGUGAAAUCCCCGGGCUUAACCUGGGAACUGCUUUCAUAACUGCUGAGCUAGAGUACGGUAGAGGGUAGUGGAAUUUCCUGUGUAGCGGUGAAAUGCGUAGAUAUAGGAAGGAACACCAGUGGCGAAGGCGACUACCUGGACUGAUACUGACACUGAGGUGCGAAAGCGUGGGGAGCAAACA
rnacentral:rRNA from 1 species